rnacentral:tRNA from 1 species
GCCCCCAUCGUCUAGUGGCCCAGGACGUCGGGUUCUCAGUCCGAAAACCGGGGUUCGACUCCCCGUGGGGGUAC